CUUCACCGAGCCCAGCCACAGCGGCCGGCCGUCCUCGCGCGCCUGCCCGUAGGUGGCCAGCAGCGCCUGCGCCUC
rnacentral:antisense_RNA from 1 species